AAACCAACAGGGAUUGCCUCAGUAACGGCGAGUGAAGCGGCAAAAGCUCAAAUUUGAAAUCUAGCACCUUCGGUGUUCGAGUUGUAAUUUGAAGAUGGUAACCUUGGGUUUGGCUCUUGUCUAUGUUCCUUGGAACAGGACGUCAUAGAGGGUGAGAAUCCCGUCUGAUGAGAUGCCCAUUCCUAUGUAAGGUGCUAUCGAAGAGUCGAGUUGUUUGGGAAUGCAGCUCUAAGUGGGUGGUAAAUUCCAUCUAAAGCUAAAUAUUGGCGAGAGACCGAUAGCGAACAAGUACAGUGAUGGAAAGAUGAAAAGAACUUUGAAAAGAGAGUGAAAAAGUACGUGAAAUUGUUGAAAGGGAAGGGCAUUAGAUCAGACUUGGUGUUUUACGAUUAUCUUCUCUUCUUGAGUUGUGCACUCGUAUUUCACUGGGCCAGCAUCGAUUCGGAUGGCAAGAUAAUAGCAGUUGAAUGUGGCUUCACUUCGGUGGAGUGUUAUAGCUUCUGUUGAUAUUGCCUGUCUGGAUCGAGGGCUGCGUCUUUUGACUAGGAUGCUGGCGUAAUGAUCUAAUGCCGCCCGUCUUGAACCAC
rnacentral:rRNA from 1 species